UGCGGACAUGCAGUGCGUAAGGCCCUGGGGCCUAGGGAGACCGCGGAGGAGAAGCGUAAUGAUCACGUUCAGCCUGGAGGGAUGUGUCUGGGCAGGCAAGCCCAGGCCUCUGGGCUCCACAGUCCCAGGUCACCUUUGCUGUGACCCAGGGCCUCCACAAGAACCCUGGCCUCCAGGCCCUGACCUGCUGACCGCGUGUAGGGGCCGCACCUCCGAUGGGCCCCCAGGCUCUGCAGAGGGAAGCUGCGGAUGCCAGGGGCUGAGUGGCCAGCAGGUGGGGGACAGAGACAGAGCGUUUGAUGCUGGAAGCCACCCGUGGGACGCCGCCGUGGUGAGGCCUGCGCAGGGCUGGGUGACGAUGACUCCUUGCCCAGGGCCUGCAGCCAUCUCCUGAGAGCGGACAUCCGAGACCCUGGCCAGCGAGCGGAACCACCAGGGAGGCUGCCUUUGGCCGGAGGUGGGGAAGCACUUUCCAACAAUUGUCCGAAAAUAGAACGGGCCCGCUCCCGAGGAAAUGAGCCCCUGUCACGGGAAGGGAGCAAGUGGGAGCAGGGAGCCUGCUGAGCAGGGAGGGGCUCCAGGCCUCCGACCCCUAGAGGCCCCGGGCCCUCAGUUUCUCCCUCUCACACCCCGAAGGCUUGAGGGGUGGGGCAGAGAGGGCAGGCCCUGGCGCAGGCCUGGCCCCAGCGUGCUGCCUGGAGGAGGGGCUCACUUCCUCCCUGGACCCUGGUGUGCCAGCAGAGAUCAGAUGGGGUGGGAGCCGAUGUCCCAUCUCGGCCGCAGGGCCCCUCUCCGUUCAGUUCGGGUCGAAGGCCGGUCACACUCCGCCGUCGCUGGGCUCAGCAGCCCCCACCCUGAGCACCUAGGCCCCCGGGGCCAGGCUGGGGAGCCCAGAGCCCACCUCUGGUGGAAAGCAGGAAGACGGAAUCACAGUCCUCCUGGUGACAUGCUGUGGCUUCCACGCCUUCGAGAGGCUUCCAGGGGGCAGGAGGCUCGUGUCAACCCUGGAGAGCUGGGCGGAGAGAAGCUGGGUGCCCCUGAUCCCUCUGCCUGGCCCGCCUCUGUGGCAUCCUGGGGUUCCAGGGAAUAUAGUUGGAGAACCAGGGCAAGGGGCCGUGGACUAAGGCAUAGGGAGCCCCAGGCCCAGCUCCACCUCCCCGCCACCCAGCACCUCGGCAGAUUCCAAGGUCUCCCAGGAAUGGCUGAGGCUGGGUUUCCUCGUUAAGGAGGCUGGUGGCAGCCCCAGGGGCACCAGGGACCAGUUGGCAUGGUAGGGGGAGGAGGGCUGAGGUCAAGGGCUGGUGGGGCAGGGGUCACAGCCGACAUCAGGGGGACUGUGAUGGGGCCUGGGUGGGGAGGGUCUCUUCGCCAGGCACAGUGCUUCCUCUGGGGGCAGCAGACCAAGACCCUCCAUCUUUCUCCCCUCCUAGGGCUAAGUGGGGUGGGAAGGGGUGAGGACACCGAAACAGUGCCCCCUGCGCCUCCCUGCCUGUCCUGGGCAGCCCUGACGCCACCUCUUCCGUCUCGCUGUCCCUACACACCAUCAGAAUCCCCCCCACACUGUCGGGGGGUCCACGAGGUUUUGUUUCCUGUUUCAGCUGGUUCAAGUUCCCUGCAAAGACCACGUAUUAGGUUUAAAAUUAGAGACACACCUUCAUGCACUUUUUUUCCUUCCUUUUCUUUUCUUCCUUAAUGGAGGUACCAGGGAUUGAACCGAGGAUUGAACCGAGGACUUUGUGCAUGCUAAGCACGUGCUCCACCUCUGGGCUCUACCCACCCUCACACACUUUUCUUAAAAGUAAAUACGUGUAAAUAAAUGUCCUAGAGAUUCUAA